rnacentral:rRNA from 1 species
CCUACGGGAGGCAGCAGUGGGGAAUAUUGGACAAUGGGCGCAAGCCUGGUCCAGCAAUGCCGCGUGAGUGAUGAAGGCCUUAGGGUCGUAAAGCUCUUUUACCAGGGAUGAUAAUGACAGUACCUGGAGAAUAAGCUCCGGCUAACUCCGUGCCAGCAGCCGCGGUAAUACGGAGGGAGCUAGCGUUGUUCGGAAUUACUGGGCGUAAAGCGUACGUAGGCGGUUAUUCAAGUCAGAGGUGAAAGCCCGGGGCUCAACCCCGGAACGGCCUUUGAAACUAGGUAGCUAGAAUCUUGGAGAGGUCAGUGGAAUUCCGAGUGUAGAGGUGAAAUUCGUAGAUAUUCGGAAGAACACCAGUGGCGAAGGCGACUGACUGGACAAGUAUUGACGCUGAGGUACGAAAGCGUGGGGAGCAAACAGGAUUAGAUACCCUGGUAGUCCACGCCGUAAACGAUGAUAACUAGCUGUCCGGGCACUUGGUGCCUGGGUGGCGCAGCUAACGCAUUAAGUUAUCCGCCUGGGGAGUACGGUCGCAAGAUUAAAACUCAAAGAUAUAGGACGUGNGAGUGCGACGAGCACCAGGAGGUAG